GAGUUCAUUAACUCCUAAAUUGGUACAACCUCUAGUGUGCCUUCAAGAUUGGCUUCGGAGUGAGUCACAACCCAUAAGUAUUGAUGAAGAUUUAGAUUUUCUUGAGCAACUUGAAGAAGAUUUGGCUAAACUUGGAAAAGAACUUUGCAUUGAUGACAUGUAAAAUUGGAGGUUUCCUUCACUAACUCUACUAAAGGAGAAGGAAGAUUUCAUCAUGCCUCAACUUCAUGGUUCUAAUGUUCGAUCACCUGUUUGGAAUCACUAUGAAAAGCUUAAAGAA